rnacentral:snRNA from 1 species
GGAUGUGAGGGGGAUCUGGCUGCCACAUCUGUCACCCCAUUGAUUGCCAGGGUUGAUUCGGCUGAUCUGGCUGGCUAGGCGGGUGUCCCCUUCUUCCCUCACCGUUCCAUGUGGGUCCCUCCCGAAGCUGAACGCUCGGUGGAAGAGGACGACCUUCCCCGCUAGAGGAGGACCGGUCUUCGGGUUCGGUCAAGGGUAUACGAGUAGCUGCGCUCCCCUGUUAGAACCUCCAAACAAGCUCUCAAAAAUAGUAAGAUCUAAUGUUCAGUUGGACAAUGGGGUGACUAAAGGUUACAAUUUAUUAUGUAUUUCAAAAUAACUAGAAAAGUAGAAUUGGAAAGUUU